rnacentral:rRNA from 1 species
GAUUCAUAAUAACUUCUCGAAUCGCAUGGCCUUGCGCUGGCGAUGGUUCAUUCAAAUUUCUGCCCUAUCAACUUUCGACGGCUGGGUCUUGGCCAGCCAUGGUGACAACGGGUAACGGAGGGUUAGGGCUCGACCCCGGAGAAGGAGCCUGAGAAACGGCUACUACAUCCAAGGAAGGCAGCAGGCGCGCAAAUUACCCAAUCCCGACACGGGGAGGUAGUGACAAUAAAUACUGAUACAGGGCUCUUUUGGGUCUUGUAAUUGGAAUGAGUACAAUUUAAAUCCCUUAACGAGGAACAAUUGGAGGGCAAGUCUGGUGCCAGCAGCCGCGGUAAUUCCAGCUCCAAUAGCGUAUAUUAAAGUUGUUGAGGUUAAAAAGCUCGUAGUUGAACCUUGGGCCCGGCCCGUCGGUCCGCCUCACCGCGUGCACUGACUGGGUCGGGCCUUUCUUUCUGGAGAACCGCAUGCCCUUCACUGGGUGUGUCGGGGAACCAGGACUUUUAC